GGAAGAGGUACUUGGUUCACAAUUUGGUGUGCACAUAUGUUACUGGUGGAAUUACUGUUCACACAUAUUGGGCAAUGUGUAUUUCUGAUGCUGGAAUUUUAACACAUUUUGUAGAUUUACUUGUGUAAAAUUGAAACUCUUUGACUCUGUUCUUCAGUGUGCUAUGGGAAAUGUAAUAUUCAAACAUCUCUCUGAAAUUAUAAUUUUGAUGGAAAGUUGAAGAUCUUCCUAAGAUAGCCAAAGGCUGUGAAGACCCAGGAGUUCCCACGAAAGAGAAGAGGAUGCGUCCACAAUUGCCCAGGGCUGGAUAUGCUAUCGGUCUUUCCAACCCAUGGAUGCAUAAGACUUCAAGUAAACAACAGGCAGAGUUGGAGCUAAAGAAUUCUUACAUAAUUAUCUUCUCAUUGGAAGAAACCAUUCAUACAUAAAGUAUUCCUAUUUCCUUA